UUUUCAUUUCCAAAUGUUUUUUACUGGAUUUGAUCAUCAACUAAAGAACAGUGCUGCUAAGUUAAAACAGACAUUAAAAUACCAUACACUCUGCUGUGUAGUUUUUGCAUUCAUGAGUCAUAAUUCUACCAUGUUUGAUUGUUCUGUUACUGUUUUCUUUCAUUCUUUUUCCAGCAGCUACCUAUAGUUACACCUGAUGAUAGUUAUUGUUUCCACUGUUGCUUUUCUGUUUUGCUAUAUGUAAUAAAACAUAAACAAAGUAAAGAGCACAGAAAGGAUCUGCCCACUAAAAUAACAACAUGUUCCUGACAAAAGAGCAGAAAUGAAAACCUACUAUCCAGGACUGCCAAAGAUGACUGUGGAUCAGCAGUUACAUCAUACACAGAAGAUUAAUAUCUGUAUAUAUCUAUUUCUUAUUCCAGAAGACAAGAAGUAAAAAUUGGAGCCAUUAUGAAAAACACAUAAUAUAUUCUAUAAAGAGUUUUGUUAGUUCAGUAUUUUUUAAAAGGAACUUUUGCUAUCCUGAAAUUUAAAUUCUUUAUUGGAAUAUAGAACUUAUUUCACAGUGAAGAUGAAAUGUUUUCUACUAUAAUGACCUGCAGCCAAAGACAAGAACUAUUCAGGAGUGGAAUCCUCCUCUAGGACUUCAAGAAAAAGGAAGUUAAGGUCCCUCAGACAGGUAAUAUGUGGCAACCAUGAACUCCUCUGGAGUCCUAAGUAUGGAUUUGAUGACUAUGGAGAAGAAUGUCAGUGUUGAGAAGACUAGAGCUUCUUUAUUUAACAACAAACAUGAUCAUCUUUUCUUUGCAGUAUCUGCAGAGCUAUCUCUAAUACGACAGAAAUAAAGAUGCUUGUAUGUCA